GCGCGACGUUCGGUUCGCUGUGUGUGUCGCCGGCUCCUUGAGGGUCCAUGUGAUUUUUACGCCAGUGCUGCUGAACUGUGCAGGGUAGGGAGCUGGCACAGUCCGAUUAAUUGUCCUUGGGUCGAGGUGUCUCGUCGGACCCUUUGGGGCUCAGUGGAGGUAGGUGAAGGCGGCUCCCAUUGAGGGAAGCCCACACUCACACCCGGCCUUCCUGUGUUAAUCUGGCAUGCUCUUCUGGGGCUUCCCAGGCUAUAUAGGAGAGUGGCCAAAUUCUUUAACCGGCUCAAGUUCCCCUCAAUUAAGCUUCGACCUAGGUUCUUCUCUGCGAUUACACCCUUUCCUGUCCACCGUUGUUAGUUCCCGGAGUAAUCAGCAACUCUCCAAGGCAAUGGACACAUUUCCAUCUUUGCCUUUGCUUACGAGGCUCCCUCAGAAUUAAGGCAGAGUCACUGUAAUUAUUUCUAAUACCAAUUCCAAAAUAGUGACUCUUGGACAAUAGUGCAAUUAUAUGGAAUUAUGGCUGGUUAUAAGCCUGUAG
rnacentral:lncRNA from 1 species